AAGGAUCAUUUUGGACAACUAAUGACUGGGUAACUGUGUAUGUAGCUUCAAGUAACUACCACUUGCCACAGCAGGAAAUGGGCCUUUAGUGGCCCACCCUCAGGACCCUCACCACCCAUCAGAGAAGCCUGUCAUUCACUGCCAUAAAUGUGGGGAGCCUUGCAAGGGUGAAGUGCUUCGGGUCCAGACCAAACAUUUCCACAUCAAGUGUUUCACCUGCAAAGAAAGUUCUAGACCAUUUAGAAAAGACCAAGGACCAAGGAGACUGCCCAGAGAAUAAAGAUUGUUCAGCCAAAUUGUCUGUUUUCAGUGAUCCUUUCCUGGGCUGUCCCAUAUAUAAAAUCAACUACUCCCUA
rnacentral:sRNA from 1 species